rnacentral:rRNA from 1 species
AGGGUUCGAUUCUGGCUCAGGAUGAACGCUAGCGACAGGCUAACACAUGCAAGUCGAGGGGCAGCACGGAGUAGCAAUACAACUGGUGGCGACCGGCGCACGGGUGAGUAACGCGUAUGCAACCUACCUAUCAGAGGGGAAUAACCCGGCGAAAGUCGGACUAAUACCGCAUAAAACAGGGGCACCGCAUGGUGAUAUUUGUUAAAGAAAUUCGCUGAUAGAUGGGCAUGCGUUCCAUUAGGUAGUUGGUGAGGUAACGGCUCACCAAGCCGACGAUGGAUAGGGGAACUGAGAGGUUGGUCCCCCACACUGGUACUGAGACACGGACCAGACUCCUACGGGAGGCAGCAGUGAGGAAUAUUGGUCAAUGGGCGGGAGCCUGAACCAGCCAAGUCCGCGUGAAGGAAGAAGGAUCUAUGGUUCGUAAACUUCUUUUGCAGGGGAAUAAAGUGCAGGACGUGUCCUGUUUUGUAUGUACCCUGAGAAUAAGGAUCGGCUAACUCCGUGCCAGCCGCCGC